GGAAGUAAGAGUCGUAACAAGGUUUCCGUAGGUGAACCUGCGGAAGGAUCAUUAAAGAAUUGCCCCGUCUUCUCGAAGAUGGGUUCUAUUCCAAACCGUGUUUACAUACCUUUGUUGCUUUGGCGGGCCGCCGCUUCGGCGUUGGCUCCGGCUGACUGCGCCCGCCAGAGGACCACAACUCUUUUGUUUAGUAAUGUCUGAGUACUAUAUAAUAGUUAAAACUUUCAACAACGGAUCUCUUGGUUCUG
rnacentral:misc_RNA from 1 species